GGAUGCGAUCAUACCAGCACUAAAGCACCGGAUCCCAUCAGAACUCUGUAGUUAAGCGUGCUUGGGCAAGAGUAGUACUAGGAUGGGUGACCUCUUGGGAAGUCCUCGUGUUGCAUUCC
rnacentral:rRNA from 2 species